AACAAACGCUGGCGGCGUGUCUUAAGCAUGCAAGUUGAGCGGCAAGGAGGAGAGAUCCUCCCUAGAGCGGCGGACUGGUGAGUAACGCGUGGGUAAUCUAUCGUAGGCAUGGGGAUAGUCACUAGAAAUAGUGGGUAAUACCGAAUACGUUCCAUGAGGGGAGUAUUCAUGGAAGAAAGGGUGCUACGGCACUGGCCUUAGGUGAGCUCGCGUCCCAUUAGCUAGUUGGUGAGGUAAAGGCCCACCAAGGCGAUGAUGGGUAGCCGGCCUGAGAGGGUGUACGGCCACACUGGGACUGAGAUACGGCCCAGACUCCUACGGGAGGCAGCAGCUAAGAAUAUUCCGCCAUGGACGAAAGUCUGACGGAGCGACGCCGCGUGGAUGAAGAAGGCCGAAAGGUUGUAAAGUUCUUUUGCUAGGGAGAAUAAGUGAGGAGGGAAUGCCCUCAUGAUGACAAGGACUAGCGAAUAAGCCCCGGCCAACUACGUGCCAGCAGCCG
rnacentral:rRNA from 1 species